AUUGAACGCUGGCGGCAUGCCUUACACAUGCAAGUCGAACGGUAACAGGUUAAGCUGACGAGUGGCGAACGGGUGAGUAAUGUAUCGGAACGUGCCCAGUCGUGGGGGAUAACUGCUCGAAAGAGCAGCUAAUACCGCAUACGACCUGAGGGUGAAAGCGGGGGAUCGCAAGACCUCGCGCGAUUGGAGCGGCCGAUAUCAGAUUAGGUAGUUGGUGAGGUAAAGGCUCACCAAGCCGACGAUCUGUAGCUGGUCUGAGAGGACGACCAGCCACACUGGGACUGAGACACGGCCCAGACUCCUACGGGAAGCAGCAGUGGGGAAUUUUGGACAAUGGGCGCAAGCCUGAUCCAGCCAUGCCGCGUGCGGGAAGAAGGCCUUCGGGUUGUAAACCGCUUUUGUCAGGGAAGAAAAGGUUCUGGCUAAUACCUGGGACUCAUGACGGUACCUGAAGAAUAAGCACCGGCUAACUACGUG
rnacentral:rRNA from 1 species